rnacentral:rRNA from 1 species
UACGAAGGGGGCUAGCGUUGCUCGGAAUCACUGGGCGUAAAGCGCACGUAGGCGGAUUGUUAAGUCAGGGGUGAAAUCCUGGAGCUCAACUCCAGAACUGCCUUUGAUACUGAGAAGCUUGAGUCCGGGAGAGGUGAGUGGAACUGCGAGUGUAGAGGUGAAAUUCGUAGAUAUUCGCAAGAACACCCAUUGCGAAGGCAGCACGCUGCACUAUUAUUGACGCUGAGGCACGAAAGCGUGGGGAGCAAACAGG